UAAGAAAAGUUGCUCUCUGGAAUGAAUAACAGAUUUGAAAAAGGAGAGGAGAAAUAAGAGGGGGGAACACUACUCUCAAACUCCAGCAUUCAGUAAACAUUCUCCAAAAAGCAGAGCUGAGAUCACUGUUGCUAAGGAAGAGAAGAGGACAUCUCAGAGUGGACACACCCAACACACUUAAAACAGAAACGUUCAGCUGGGCCAGAAGGAGUGGCUUCUUAGUGAUGAAAUUUCAGAAUAUCGAAGAAAAACAUUUAUACUUCUAUUACAAAGGAAAAGAAGCAUCUACACAGAAUUGAGGUCCAUCAGAUAUUGCCUACCAACAUAUUGAAGCCCAGUACCCUGAAUGACUAGGAGAAACAAUAUAGCCAGCGCCGGGCAAAACUUCUGCUGAUUUUUCUCAUGAAGAGAGUACAGAUGAAUCUGGUGGGAAGAGCAGACUGAAUACCUUUGGCACUGAACCUGGCCUGACACCCCCUGGGUUCUCUUGGAAUGCUUAUCAAAAAUGGAUAACCAGAUCUGCCAGGAAGAAGAGACUCCCUGAUCAUAUCACCCAUUCCGAGAUUUCAGUAAAU